rnacentral:lncRNA from 1 species
CCGGUGUGUGAUGUUCCCCUUCCUGUGUCCAUGGCUUGCACUAAAGUUUUCUCCAGCUUCUGGCUCCAUCCGGUUGGCCACUGACUCCCAGUGGAAUACUGUGGGUGUUUCUCCUGGGAGGAAAGUCUCAUUGACGAGCAGCAGUCCCUCUCUCUGCCUCCCUGCCUGUGGCUCCAGGGGCCCCCUCUCCAUGCUGCUGUCUGCAUACUCUCUGCCUGUGAAUAGAGACAGAGUUCCCUGGGUCGGGAAGACCCCGUGGGAGGCAGUGUGGUGGGCAGAAUAGAGACGGCCUGGAACUGGCCUUCAUUUCGGAAUGAAUGAGUCCAGCUUUGAGCCCAGGAGACCCAGGAACGUGAACUGCAGCUUGAACACUUGAAGACUGGCUGACUUACUCUGUGACAGGACACCUUGUUUCCACAGAGCAGGCUACUCUGCCGUCACUGAGGCCUCUUAGGCGCAUCUGAGGCCGGCUGGAUCUGCCGGUCUGCCCUCUGCCACACAGCUGCCGUGCUGGGCUGGUCAAAGCUGAAAGCAGUAUUUGCAGAGAAAGAUGUGUGGAACAUUCUUGGAGCCCUGCUGGAUCAGGAGACAAACAAAGCCCUCUGGUUUCUGAAGCAGCGUGUGGCUCUCUUCAAGAGCCCACAGGUUCCCAUCCGCUGGGCAGCUGUGUGGUUUGCAGGUCAGAUUAUCCAAACCCUAGACUUGGAAGAGAUCGAUGAAAUUGAGGAGGCAUACACAGGUGAGUGGCAGCCCAGUCGCCCCCUCCUUGCAUCUUUUAGUGGCACCGGUGUUGGUGGGGAAUGCUCAGAAGUUAGGAAAAGUGAGCGGAUGGACUCACAAAAAUGAUCAUCCAGACGUGUGAAAAGGCAGGCUCAUCCCCAAGGUGCUUA